rnacentral:ncRNA from 1 species
ACGGGAAUUUUAAAGGGCGUAUGGUGGAUGCCUUGGCUAGAAAAAGCGAUGAAAGACGUGGCGUGGCGGCGAUACGCUUCGGGGAGGUGCCGAGCAACCUUUGAUCCGAAGAUUUCUGAAUGGGGAAACCCCAUUAGGUAAAACCUAAUGACUGAUGCAUUAAGUGCACAGAGCGUACCCUGGGAAGUAAAACAUUUCAGUACCAGGAGGAAUAAAAACAAACAUGCAUUCCGUCAGUAGCGGCGAGCGAACGCGGAGGAGACUAAACUUAUCCUAAAUCGUAGGGCGGAUUCCGCUCUGUCGAAAGGCUAAGCGGAAACGCUUUGCGAUUUAGGAUGAGGGUUGCAAGGU